CCUACGGGAGGCAGCAGUGGGGAAUAUUGCACAAUGGGGGGAACCCUGAUGCAGCGACGCCGCGUGGGUGAAGGAGUAUUUCGGUAUGUAAAGCCCUAUCAGCAGGGAAGAACAAUGACGGUAACUGACUAAGAAGCACCGGCUAAAUACGUGCCAGCCCCCGCGGAAAUACGGAUGGUGCAAGCGUUAUCCGGAUUUACUGGGUGUAAAGGGAGCGCAGGCGGGGCGUUAAGCCUGUGGUGAAAGCCCGCGGCCAAACCGCGGGACUGCAUUGGGAACUGGCGCGCUGGAGUGACGGGGGGGUAGGCGGAAUUCCGAGUGUAGCGGUGAAAUGCGUAGAUAUUAGGAGGAACACCAGUGGCGAAGGCGGCCUACUGGACGGUGACUGACGCUGAGGCUCGAAAGCGUGGGGAGCAAACAGGAUUAGAUACCCCAGUAGUC
rnacentral:rRNA from 1 species